rnacentral:lncRNA from 1 species
CAUCCGGCCAAUUACCCCUUCGGGAUCCUUCCCGUUUCCCAGUGGCAAUGGACCCUGCCUUGACCACCAGAAACUCAUCGCUUGGCAGGAACAUAUCGCGGCAUGCAAGCGGUUGGAGUAUCAAAGACAUUUAGCUAUCGAAGAGGCAGCGAGGGCGCUACAACAUCACGAGACUCUUGUUAAACAGAGCAAGAAACUAAGGCCGAUGAAGUUUCCUUGCCCCCACUGCAACGUCGCAUUCAGUAACAACGGUCAACUCAAAGGACACAUCCGGAUCCACACCGUAAACAACAAUCAGCAAGGGAUUUUGAAUCCAGCGGGGAUUCGGGUGGAUCCCAACCAGCCAUCACCUCCUGGCGUUGAGGCGCAACCUCAAUAUCCCGGAGGUGUCAAUGUACAGCUGAGGCCCCCGGUCCAGCUACAGCAGCCGGGGGUGGCGUGAACGGUCAACCCUCCUACGCGCGGCCCCAGUGGUAUGGAUGGCGGCAGGAGCCUCAUCAGCCCCUAACGCCGAUCCCGGAACUGUAAGGCGAGCGACAGGGGCUGUUGAUGGCGGCCGCUGUUCAGCCGCCACCGCCGCCACUCCAGUCGCCGACGAUGCUGGUUCCGCCGCCCUCUCCUGCUGCCUCUUCGGCGGCGAGGCCUGCUCGCGCGGCUAGCCCGACGCUAGAGGAACGGAUCACGGAGGCCGUCCGGGUGGCGGUGGCAGCCGCUAUGGCCACCGGCGGACCCGUUUCUCGAGGGG